AGAGUUUGAUCCUGGCUCAGAACGAACGCUGGCGGCGCGUUUUAAGCAUGCAAGUCGAACGGUAGUAGAGUGCUUGCACUCUAUGAGAGUGGCGAACGGGUGAGUAACACGUAGGUAAUCUAUCUUAGGGUCUGGGAUAGCUUGUGGAAACACAGGGUAAUACCGGGUACGACCUGACUGUUAAGGUUAGGGGAAAGCCGCUUAGGCGGCGCCCUUUGCUGAGCCUGCGGCUCAUUAGUUAGUUGGUAGGGUAACGGCCUACCAAGGCGACGAUGAGUAGCCGGCCUGAGAGGGUGAUCGGCCACACUGGGACUGAGACACGGCCCAGACUUCUACGGAAGGCAGCAGCUAAGAAUCUUCCGCAAUGGGGGAAACCCUGACGGAGCGACGCCGCGUGAACGAAGAAGGCCGGAAGGUUGUAAAGUUCUUUUCCUGGGGGAGAAUAACGGCCGGAGGGAAUGCCGGCGGGAUGACGUGAACCAGGGAAUAAGCCCCGGCUAAUUACGUGCCAGCAGCCGCGGUAACACGUAAGGGGCGAGCGUUGUUCGGAUUUAUUGGGCGUAAAGGGCGUGUAGGCGGUGAGGUAAGUCUGGUGUGAAAUAUCCCGGCUCAACCGGGAGAGCGCGCUGGAAACUGUCUUACUUGAGUGAUGGAGGGGGAGCUGGAAUUCCUGGUGUAGGGGUGAAAUCUGUAGAGAUCAGGAAGAACACCGGAGGCGAAGGCGAGCUCCUGGCCAUUUACUGACGCUGAGGCGCGAAAGCGUGGGGAGCGAACAGGAUUAGAUACCCUGGUAGUCCACGCUGUAAACGAUGUGCACUGGGUGUUGGUCCUGAGAGGAUCAGUGCCGUAGCAAACGCGUUAAGUGCACCGCCUGGGGAGUAUGCUCGCAAGGGUGAAACUCAAAGGAAUUGACGGGGGCCCGCACAAGCGGUGGAGCAUGUGGUUUAAUUCGAUGAUACGCGAGGAACCUUACCAGGGCUUGACAUAGACACGACGGUUGUAGAGAUACAGCCUCUCUUCGGAGCGUGUUUACAGGUGCUGCAUGGCUGUCGUCAGCUCGUGCUGUGAAGUGUUGGGUUAAGUCCCGCAACGAGCGCAACCCUUGCUGUCUGUUGCCAACAGGUAAUGCUGGGGACUCGGACGGUACUGCCGGUGACAAACCGGAGGAAGGUGGGGACGACGUCAAGUCAUCAUGGCCCUUAUGUCCUGGGCUACACACGUGCUACAAUGGUCGGUACAGAGCGACGCGAAACCGCGAGGUAGAGCAAAUCGCAGAAAACCGAUCUCAGUUCGGAUUGAAGUCUGAAACCCGACUUCAUGAAGCUGGAAUCGCUAGUAAUCGCGCAUCAGCAUGGCGCGGUGAAUAUGUUCCCGGGCCUUGUACACACCGCCCGUCACACCACCCGAGUUGGGGGUACCCGAAGUCGCUCGUCUAACCAGUAAUGGGGGACGGUGCCGAAGGUAUGCCUGGUAAGGGGGGUGAAGUCGUAACAAGGUA
rnacentral:rRNA from 1 species